rnacentral:rRNA from 1 species
UACGUAGGGCGCAAGCGUUAUCCGGAAUUAUUGGGCGUAAAGAGCUCGUAGGCGGUUUGUCGCGUCUGUUGUGAAAGCCCCGGGCUCAACCUGGGAAUGGCAAUGGAUACUGGCAGGCUAGAGUGCGGUAGAGGGUAGUGGAAUUCCCGGUGUAGCGGUGAAAUGCGUAGAGAUCGGGAGGAACACCAGUGGCGAAGGCGGCUACCUGGACCAGCACUGACACUGAGGCACGAAAGCGUGGGGAGCAAACAGG